rnacentral:rRNA from 6 species
UGAAAUCUGGCUCUCGGGCCCGAGUUGUAAUUUGUAGAGGAUACUUUUGAUGCGGUGCCUUCCGAGUUCCCUGGAACGGGACGCCAUAGAGGGUGAGAGCCCCGUCUGGUUGGAUGCCAAAUCUCUGUAAAGUUCCUUCGACGAGUCGAGUAGUUUGGGAAUGCUGCUCUAAAUGGGAGGUAUAUGUCUUCUAAAGCUAAAUACCGGCCAGAGACCGAUAGCGCACAAGUAGAGUGAUCGAAAGAUGAAAAGCACUUUGAAAAGAGAGUUAAAAAGUACGUGAAAUUGUUGAAAGGGAAGCGUUUAUGACCAGACUUGGGCUUGGUUAAUCAUCUGGGGUUCUCCCCAGUGCACUUUUCCAGUCCAGGCCAGCAUCAGUUUUCCCCGGGGGAUAAAGACUUCGGGAAUGUGGCUCUCUUCGGGGAGUGUUAUAGCCCGUUGUGUAAUACCCUGGGGGGGACUGAGGUUCGCGCAUCUGCAAGGAU